AUCUGGUUGAUAAGUCCAGAAUGGGACGAAACGCGCGUCCUGGAU
rfam:Schistosoma curassoni strain Dakar, Senegal genome assembly, scaffold: SCTD_contig0015755